rnacentral:misc_RNA from 1 species
GAUUUGAUUUAGGUAAUAUGUUAUAGCCUACACUAUUUGUUGCUGCAGCAAUGUUCUCUAGAUGACUGUAUUCAUUUGAUUUGUAAAUUGGAUUUGGAUUCUUGUGUUUGGCAUGAUUAAUUUAUAGCUGAAUCUCAAUUUAUUCAUUUGAUUUUUUGUGCAUGUGCUGCAUCUUUUGUUUUUAACCAAUGGGGCUUUGCCAUGGUAAAUGAUUUGUGAUGGGUUUCAAAUUCCCUUAAUAUCAAAAUGCUGGGAGAUUAGGCUCCAA